rnacentral:lncRNA from 1 species
GGCCCCAACCCUCACCUCCAAAUCCUGAUUUUCAUGCCGCCAGACUCUCCUGAAUCUUUUCUUCUCCUACAACAAAAAACCUGUCCAGAUUGUCUGCUCCGCUUGAACAAUCUGCCCAGUUUCUGGAGUUCUUGUUUAAUCUGUCUAUAGAACUACAAUUCUGAGAGUCUCCCAAAACUUGUGCAGUUAAUGUCACCUAAUUUAUCUCUGAUGAAUAUGUAUCCAGCUUG